rnacentral:tRNA from 1 species
GGAGAAGUACUCAAGUUUGGUCGAAGAGGCGCCCCUGCUAAGGGUGUAGGUCGGGAAACUGGCGCGAGGGUUCGAAUCCCUCCUUCUCCG